AUGAGGACAUCUACAAACUAGCCUUUGAAAUUAUUGAUCAGUACUUUUCGGGAGACGAUAUUGAUGAAGAUCCAAAUGUGAUGCCUGAGACCACCCAAGGAGGAACCUACGCCUUUGACCCAGCUUCCAACAUGCAGACAAAGGAGUUCAACUUUUAAACACAAGGAUGUUCGGUCCAACCAUUUGCACGGGUACUCUCUGUAAGACAUUCAUCCAUAUUUUCCUCCAACCUGGCAACCUGGUACAGAAGGAUUUCCAUAGCUUUCUUACCCACGGAAAUUCACCACUGAAGGAUUGACUUGUGUCCACCUUUGCAAAACCGGGAUGUCUGUCUUUUUAAAUCAACAAAGCAAACAAAAUACCAAACAGGAUGUAGAAGUUUGGAAAUGUAAUCUGGCAACAGACAUCAGGAGGAUUGUUGUUCAUAUCUUCUGCUUUUAAAAAUAUACACACGAGGCGCAGAAGGAAAAAAGCGCUCUCUGCAAGUAUUAAUUGCUACAUGUCAAGUCUUCACUGAACUCCAACCGUCACAUAUACAGGCACAACACACAUUUAACACGUAGGAAGAACUUGGUGUGCAUACUUCUGUUAGAGGCCAUCAUAUCACAUAUGGGGAAAAUACUGCUGUUUUGGUUUUUGUGGUUUUAUUUUGUGCUUUUCCUCUCUUGGAUUGUCCUGGUGUUUUUUCACUGAUACACAAAUGCACACAAUCAUUCACGUAGUUGCACAGAUUGGUAAUGGCCAGGCACCUCAACGACCCUCUUUCCCGAAUUUAAAGAGUUAAUCCCAGAGCAUAAGCCAUGAUUUAACCAUGGACCCACCCACCCCACUGGAGUCCCAGGACAGUCCAGCGGGGAGCAAGUGGAUGUGUGAAAGGGCUCGAAACGGCGAAGGAUUUGUGGUGAACUGACAGACAGGACUUAGAUUCAAUGUCACUUUUUUAAGCAUGACAUUUGGUGACUUUAGACUUUGUUGUUUAAAAAUGUGAUUUUAUUUUUUGUUCUUACAAAAGGUGAUGGAAAUCCAUCUGGAUGAUGACAAAUUUUAAGAGCAUUCUCAAGAAUUUCAAAACUUUUUUUUUUCCUACCACAGGACAAUGUUUAUUCAGUGUGAACUUGGUCUUAUCCUGUGACCAAGUGCCCUGUCCAGACUCCCCUGUAAUGUGAAACUCGAAAGAGGGGGGUGGGAGGGUUGGACAAAAAAAGAUGUUGAUCUGAUUGACCUUAACUUAUCUAAACUCAUUUUAAAUCAUUGGUUUUAAUUCACUGUUUGAUUUUAUGUUCUAGCUCUUUCUGGCUCAUUGUAUUUAUGCAUCAGUAUAUUUAAAGUGACCCACAAUUAAUCAGGCCUGAUUCAUAUUAAAACUGCAAUAUUCCUGUUUAAAUCAAAACUUAGUCUCACAAUUAUACACACCACAUUUUGAGUUUGAGUCUGUGGAGCUUCCAUUUUUAUUUGUUGUUCUGGUUUUAUGCACAUGUCCGAGAGGCCUAUUGAUGUCUGCAGAAAGUGUCUUGUACUCAUCAAAGACUAAUGUAUCAUGGAGUACAGGUCAGCCUUCUCUUUACCUAACGUUUAAAGAAGAGGUCACAAUUUCAUCACCAGUAUGACUAAUGUAAAAUGUGAUGUGUAUCUCUCCUUGCCAUCAAAGGAAUAUAUAAAUAUAUUUACAUAAAGCCUGUACAAAGCUGCUGCAGCGAUCAGUCAUUGGAUGGACAAUAAUCUUACUGAUAACAAUGGCUGGGGAGGCUUUUUUGUUCAAGCAAUAUUUCUUGUUUUGUUUUCAUUUUUGACUUGCAUAUGUAUUGUGGUGAUAUGCUGAGAAGUCAAAACAGGCUCUAAUUCCUAUUUGUUGUGGUGACGGGCUACUGAAAUGGCACUGUCUCCAUCAGUUUAGGGUUUAAGGUGUCCAAAUAGUAGGUCAGCCCUUGCCCCAGUUCUGAAGACAUUCUGGUCCUCUUGUUGCCUGCUAACUACUGAGAAGAAGUCAGAAAUGGGAGGGGAGGGGAGGGGGGGUACGCUUUGUUUUUGGGUCUAGCUGUUUAUAACUGAACAAAGCUAUAGAGAGGAUGUACAGUCAUUAAAUGGCAGACUAGGCCGAGCCACUUUAAAGAUUUACAAUUUUGUUGUCUUGUAUCUAAAUUGGAUACAAGCUUAUGUUUGUUGCAAGAUUUUUACUUGCUAAUGAAAAGUUGUUUUAAAUAAAUAAUAGGAGAAGAACAACAGACAGCGUUUUGGCCUCUGGUUGUUUAUAUCUUUUUAUAAAUUUUAGAUUGAAUUAUUCUCUUUAAGGUGGCUCAUUGAUGCUUUCAACUCUUGUGCAUAUUAAAGAUAAGAAUGAGUUGAAAAUCAUUGUGCCUUUUGUUUUUCAUUUUAUUAAAAUAGACAUUUCUUUAAGUAUCUGGACUACACUGAAAUGGGAGUUGUACAGUAAUCUAUGGUCUCCCUGUGCGGUGGAGGUUUGCCAUGGGAAUGGUCUAUGCUGCUCUCUGCUGUUGAGAGAUCUUUCUCUUCUAAAAUAUUCACUGAACUUUGUAAAACACUUUUCUCUUACUCAUAACUCCAAAUGCAGCAACAGUUCUCAUCGCCAUGACUCAGUCAGGAGAUUUGACAUUUCCUUUCAUAUCCUCAUCAAGACAUUAUUUGUCUCAUCUUAACCAUAAUAAACUUGCUGUUUAGCUGUUUGGUC